GUAGGUGGCAAGCGUUGCCCCGGAAUUAUUGGGCGUAAAGCGCGCGCAGGCGGUUCUUUAAGUCUGAUGUGAAAGCCCACGGGCUCAACCGUGGAGGGUCAUUGGAAACUGGAGAACUUGAGUACAGAAGAGGAAAGCGGAAUUCCACGUGUAGCGGUGAAAUGCGUAGAGAUGUGGAGGAACACCAGUGGCGAAGGCGGCUUUCUGGUCUGUAACUGACGCUGAGGCGCGAAAGCGUGGGGAGCAAACAGGAUUAGAUACCCUGGUAGUCCACGCCGUAAACGAUGAGUGCUAAGUGUUAGGGGGUUUCCGCCCCUUAGUGCUGCAGCUAACGCAUUAAGCACUCCGCCUGGGGAGUACGACCGCAAGGUUG
rnacentral:rRNA from 1 species